rnacentral:sRNA from 1 species
ACAGCAAUGCUGAUUUACUCAAAGAAGCACAAAGAGAAAAUAGGGCGUUAAAUUUAGAAAAAGAUAUAUUAGACACAGUCCAAAGAGAAUCGCAGAAGAGAAUUUCAGCAUUGACUUCAGAUAAUGAGGGUCUAGACAAAGCUCUUAAAAAGGCACAAAAUGAAAAACUAGAAGUGACCACAAAAAAAAAUAAACUAAAGUCAUCUUUAUCGGAGGCGAAAACUAAACUUAGUGCAUUGACUUUAGAGAAAGAUCAACUAAAAACAACCCUGAGCACCACACGAAGAGGAUAUCUAAAUUUAAUAUCAGAAAAAGAUCAACUAGAAACAACCCUGAGCACCAAACAAGGAGAAUAUCUAACUGUAGUAUCAGAAAAAGGUAAGUCAG